rnacentral:rRNA from 1 species
UACAGAGACUGCAAGCGUUAUUCGGAUUCACUGGGCGUAAAGGGUGCGCAGGCGGUCGUGUGUGUCAGAUGUGAAAUCCCGGAGCUUAACUCCGGAACUGCGUCUGAAACUACACGACUAGAGCAUUGGAGAGGGAAGUGGAAUUCAUGGUGUAGCAGUGAAAUGCGUAGAUAUCGGAAGGAACACCAAUGGCGAAGGCAGCUUCCUGGCCCAAUACUGACGCUCAGGUGCGAAAGCGUGGGGAUCAAACAGG